CUAAUCCGUCACGCAAGCGUCCCUACGAGGGAUCUCCUACAAACGCGGGUUUACGCCGAGAAAUAAGGUCGACAACCUCAUCUGGGAAUGGUAAAAUUAAAACCUCUUUUUUUCUGCCCCACCCCCCCCCCCCCCACUCAAACGUGUUUUAUUCAUCUCGAGUAUGAAUAAUAUUUUUCCCCUUUUCAACUUUGACGAUAAUACGAGUUGCUCGGCUCGCCGGCAGAUAUUUUGUGUGACUAAGUGCCAGUUACAUCCAUUGGCACAUUCGCAUUGCACGAAUAUCUCCAGAGAAGGUCACGCGCGGUGUCAAAACAACUCAGUUGCUUUUCAAGCAAUAUUAACUCAUCUGCUUGAUUCACAGAAUCGGUUUCAUUUCAUCACAAAAUGCUCAACUUUUAUCCGAAUGCAAAAAACCUUUGGGAACCUUAGCAAUUAAAGAUUCCGAAAAAUCCAAAGGGCACUCUGAAGCGAACCGGUGGAAAUGCUGCACGGAGACUUGUCACAAGAAUACAAGAGCAAGGAAGAAAAAGCUCGCCGGUGAUUCCCAAGCGGCCGCCAUGUUGCAGGUUGACUGCUCUCCGCUUCCUCCAGAGCUGCGGUCUCGAGGCGGCUAAAGCAUCCUGCCACCAGGGGGAGGAGGAGGGGUGCCAAUGACGCCGGCAUGCGCACAAACCCAAAGAAAAAACUUCCUCCCGUGUGUGUGUGUGUGUGUGUGUGUGUGUGUGUGUGUGUGUGUGUGUGUGUGUGUGUGUGUGUGUGUGUGUGUGUGUGUGUGUGAUUGCACAGCUUUGCUUAUUUUGCCUGCAUACUAAAAAUGAGCAUUAUGAUCAAACAAAGGUCACAUAAUCCUACUUUGUAGAGCAGAGUUCCAUCACUUUGCACAGUAUCGUGUGUGUGUGUGUGUGUAGUUGUGUGUACGGGACUGCACGUUGCUAGGCAACCGCAUUGUCAUUUUCACCUCCAGUGAAAGAGAUUUUGUGAACUCACCCAAAAGUGCGCACCCGCCCUGCGUGACUAACACACACACAUUCGUUAAUAUCAUUAUCUAUAAAAAAUAAUUAUUCUGUUGCAUAUAAAAUCACCAAUAACAGUGAAAUAGAAUGUAGAACAUUUAAAAAUGACACCUAUGAUCCUGCAUGACUAACGUUUCAAGUUCACAAGAAAAGGUU